rnacentral:rRNA from 1 species
GUCUACGGCCAUACCACCCUGAACGUGCCUGAUCUUGUCUGAUCUCGGAAGCUAAGCAGGGUUGGGCCUGGUUAGUACUUGGAUGGGAGAAUGAGCUGAUUGGCUUAGACC